AAUCAACGCUGGCGGCGUGCCUCAGACAUGCAAGUCGAACGCGAAAGUUUCCUUCGGGAAGCGAGUAGAGUGGCGUCCGGGUGAGUAACACGUAGGUAAUCUACCUUUGGGUGGGGAAUAACAACCGGAAACGGUUGCUAAUACCGCAUAAUGCAGCGGCACCACAUGGUGACAGUUGUUAAAGCGGGGGAUCGCAAGACCUCGCGCCUAAAGAGGAGCCUGCGGCGGAUUAGCUAGNGGUAAGGUAACGGCUUACCAAGGCAACGAUCCGUAGCCGGCCUGAGAGGGGCGGUCGGCCACACUGACACUGAAAUACGGGUCAGACUCCUACGGGAGGCAGCAGUCGGGAAUUUUGGGCAAUGGGCGAAAGCCUGACCCAGCAACGCCGCGUGAAGGAUGAAAUCCCUCGGGAUGUAAACUUCGCAAGAACAGGAAGAAUAAGUAGGGGACAAUACCCCCUAUGAUGACGGUACUGUUUGUAAGCUCCGGCUAACUCCGUGCCAGCA
rnacentral:rRNA from 1 species